rnacentral:rRNA from 1 species
CCCCGUACACAAAAAUGCACAUGCUGUGAGCUCGAUGAGUAGGGCGGGACACGUGGUAUCCUGUCUGAAUAUGGGGGGACCAUCCUCCAAGGCUAAAUACUCCUGACUGACCGAUAGUGAACCAGUACCGUGAGGGAAAGGCGAAAAGAACCCCGGCGAGGGGAGUGAAAAAGAACCUGAAACCGUGUACGUACAAGCAGUGGGAGCACGCUUAGGCGUGUGACUGCGUACCUUUUGUAUAAUGGGUCAGCGACUUAUAUUCUGUAGCAAGGUUAACCGAAUAGGGGAGCCGAAGGGAAACCGAGUCUUAACUGGGCGUUAAGUUGCAGGGUAUAGACCCGAAACCCGGUGAUCUAGCCAUGGGCAGGUUGAAGGUUGGGUAACACUAACUGGAGGACCGAACCGACUAAUGUUGAAAAAUUAGCGGAUGACUUGUGGCUGGGGGUGAAAGGCCAAUCAAACCGGGAGAUAGCUGGUUCUCCCCGAAAGCUAUUUAGGUAGCGCCUCGUGAAUUCAUCUCCGGGGGUAGAGCACUGUUUCGGCAAGGGGGUCAUCCCGACUUACCAACCCGAUGCAAACUGCGAAUACCGGAGAAUGUUAUCACGGGAGACACACGGCGGGUGCUAACGUCCGUCGUGAAGAGGGAAACAACCCAGACCGCCAGCUAAGGUCCCAAAGUCAUGGUUAAGUGGGAAACGAUGUGGGAAGGCCCAGACAGCCAGGAUGUUGGCUUAGAAGCAGCCAUCAUUUAAAGAAAGCGUAAUAGCUCACUGGUCGAGUCGGCCUGCGCGGAAGAUGUAACGGGGCUAAACCAUGCACCGAAGCUGCGGCAGCGACGCUGAUGCGUUGUUGGGUAGGGGAGCGUUCUGUAAGCCUGUGAAGGUGUGCUGUGAGGCAUGCUGGAGGUAUCAGAAGUGCGAAUGCUGACAUAAGUAACGAUAAAGCGGGUGAAAAGCCCGCUCGCCGGAAGACCAAGGGUUCCUGUCCAACGUUAAUCGGGGCAGGGUGAGUCGACCCCUAAGGCGAGGCCGAAAGGCGUAGUCGAUGGGAAACAGGUUAAUAUUCCUGUACUUGGUGUUACUGCGAAGGGGGGACGGAGAAGGCUAUGUUGGCCGGGCGACGGUUGUCCCGGUUUAAGCGUGUAGGCUGGUUUUCCAGGCAAAUCCGGAAAAUCAAGGCUGAGGCGUGAUGACGAGGCACUACGGUGCUGAAGCAACAAAUGCCCUGCUUCCAGGAAAAGCCUCUAAGCAUCAGGUAACAUCAAAUCGUACCCCAAACCGACACAGGUGGUCAGGUAGAGAAUACCAAGGCGCUUGAGAGAACUCGGGUGAAGGAACUAGGCAAAAUGGUGCCGUAACUUCGGGAGAAGGCACGCUGAUAUGUAGGUGAAGCGACUUGCUCGUGGAGCUGAAAUCAGUCGAAGAUACCAGCUGGCUGCAACUGUUUAUUAAAAACACAGCACUGUGCAAACACGAAAGUGGACGUAUACGGUGUGACGCCUGCCCGGUGCCGGAAGGUUAAUUGAUGGGGUCAGCGCAAGCGAAGCUCUUGAUCGAAGCCCCGGUAAACGGCGGCCGUAACUAUAACGGUCCUAAGGUAGCGAAAUUCCUUGUCGGGUAAGUUCCGACCUGCACGAAUGGCGUAAUGAUGGCCAGGCUGUCUCCACCCGAGACUCAGUGAAAUUGAACUCGCUGUGAAGAUGCAGUGUACCCGCGGCAAGACGGAAAGACCCCGUGAACCUUUACUAUAGCUUGACACUGAACAUUGAGCCUUGAUGUGUAGGAUAGGUGGGAGGCUUUGAAGUGUGGACGCCAGUCUGCAUGGAGCCGGCCUUGAAAUACCACCCUUUAAUGUUUGAUGUUCUAACGUUGACCCGUGAUCCGGGUUGCGGACAGUGUCUGGUGGGUAGUUUGACUGGGGCGGUCUCCUCCUAAAGAGUAACGGAGGAGCACGAAGGUUGGCUAAUCCUGGUCGGACAUCAGGAGGUUAGUGCAAUGGCAUAAGCCAGCUUGACUGCGAGCGUGACGGCGCGAGCAGGUGCGAAAGCAGGUCAUAGUGAUCCGGUGGUUCUGAAUGGAAGGGCCAUCGCUCAACGGAUAAAAGGUACUCCGGGGAUAACAGGCUGAUACCGCCCAAGAGUUCAUAUCGACGGCGGUGUUUGGCACCUCGAUGUCGGCUCAUCACAUCCUGGGGCUGAAGUAGGUCCCAAGGGUAUGGCUGUUCGCCAUUUAAAGUGGUACGCGAGCUGGGUUUAGAACGUCGUGAGACAGUUCGGUCCCUA